rnacentral:rRNA from 1 species
GACGAACGCUGGCGGCGUGCUUAACACAUGCAAGUCGAACGGAAAGGCCCUGCUUUUGUGUGGUGCUCGAGUGGCGAACGGGUGAGUAACACGUGAGUAACCUGCCCUUGACUUUGGGAUAACUUCAGGAAACUGGGGCUAAUACCGGAUAGGAGCUCCUGCUGCAUGGUGGGGGUUGGAAAGUUUCGGCGGUUGGGGAUGGACUCGCGGCUUAUCAGCUUGUUGGUGGGGUAGUGGCUUACCAAGGCUUUGGCGGGUAGCCGGCCUGAGAGGGUGACCGGCCACAUUGGGACUGAGAUACGGACCAGACUCCUACGGGAGGCAGCAGGGGGGAAUAUUGCACAAUGGGCGGAAGCCUGAUGCAGCAACGCCGCGUGCGGGAUGACGGCCUUCGGGUUGUAAACCGCUUUCGCCUGUGACGAAGCGUGAGUGACGGUAAUGGGUAAAGAAGCACCGGCUAACUACGUG